UACGUAGGGUGCAAGCGUUGUCCGGAAUUAUUGGGCGUAAAGAGCUCGUAGGCGGUCUGUCGCGUCGGCUGUGAAACCCGAGGCUCAACCUCGGGCCUGCAGUCGAUACGGGCAAACUAGAGUACUGCAGGGGAGACUGGAAUUCCUGGUGUAGCGGUGAAUGCGCAGAUAUCAGGAGGAACACCGGUGGCGAAGGCGGGUCUC
rnacentral:rRNA from 1 species